rnacentral:rRNA from 1 species
AUGAUUAUUAUUUAAUGGCCGCGGUAUCUUGACCGUGCAAAGGUAGCGUAAUCAUUAGCUUAUUAAUUGUUAGAUGGUAUGAAUGGUUGGACGAGAUAUUUACUGUCUCUUAUUUAUUAUUUAGAAUUUAAUUUUUGAGUUAAAAAGCUUAAAUUUUAUUAAAGGACGAGAAGACCCUAUAGAUCUUUAUUUUUAUUAUUUUAUGAAUUUAGUUUUAUUUAUUUUAUUAAAUUUUUGGUUGGGGUGACCUUGAGAUAUAAUUAACUCUUUAUUUACUUUUCAUUUAUUUAUGUUUAAAUGAUCUUUUAUUAUUGUUUAUAAGAUUAAGAUACCUUAGGGAUAACAGCGUAAUUUCAUUUGAGAGUUCUUAUUGACAAUGGAGAUUGCGACCUCGAUGUUGAAUUAAGAUUAUUAUUAGGUGUAGUAGCUUAAUUAUAAGGUCUGUUCGACCUUUAAAAUCUUACAUGAUCUGAGUU